rnacentral:rRNA from 1 species
GUAAAAAGCGUAACAAGGUUUCCGUAGGUGAACCUGCGGAAGGAUCAUUAUCGAGUUUUGACUGGGUUGUAGCUGGCCUUCCGAGGCAUGUGCACGCCCUGCUCAUCCACUCUACACCUGUGCACUUACUGUGGGCUUCAGAUCGUAAAACGGGUCCCUUUACCGGGCUUGCGGAGCGUGUCUGUGCCUGCGUUUAUCACAAACUCUAUAAAGUAUCAGAAUGUGUAUUGCGAUGUAACGCAUCUAUAUACAACUUUCAGCAACGGAUCUCUUGGCUCUCGCAUCGAUGAAGAACGCAGCGAAAUGCGAUAAGUAAUGUGAAUUGCAGAAUUCAGUGAAUCAUCGAAUCUUUGAACGCACCUUGCGCUCCUUGGUAUUCCGAGGAGCAUGCCUGUUUGAGUGUCAUGAAAUCUUCAACCUGCAAGCUUUUGUGGUUUGUAGGCUUGGACUUGGAGGCUUGUCGGCCGUUGUUGGUCGGCUCCUCUUAAAUGCAUUAGCUUGGUUCCUUGCGGAUCGGCUCUCAGUGUGAUAAUGUCUACGCUGCGACCGUGAAGCGUUUGGCGAGCUUCUAACCGUCUCAGUUGGAGACAACUUUAUGACCUCUGACCUCAAAUCAGGUAGGACUACCCGCUGAACUUAA